ensembl:snRNA U6 U6 spliceosomal RNA
GUGCUUGCUUGGCAGCACAUAUACUAAAAUUGGAAUGAUACAGAGAAGAUUAGAAUGGCCCCUGCAGAAGGAUGACAUGCAAAUUCAUAAAGUGUUCCAUAUUUUU